rnacentral:rRNA from 1 species
GACGAACGCUGGCGGCGUGCUUAACACAUGCAAGUCGAACGGUGAAGCGCCUUCCUUUUUGGUGGGUGUGGAGGAGUGGCGAACGGGUGAGUAACACGUGAGUAACCUGCCCCCUUCUUCUGGAUAACCGCAUGAAAGUGUGGCUAAUACGGGAUAUUCUGGGUCUGUCGCAUGAUGGGUCUGGGAAAGAUAUUGUUUCGGUGGGGGAUGGGCUCGCGGCCUAUCAGCUUGUUGGUGGGGUGAUGGCCUACCAAGGCGGUGACGGGUAGCCGGCCUGAGAGGGUGGACGGUCACACUGGGACUGAGACACGGACCAGACUCCUACGGGAGGCAGCAGUGGGGAAUAUUGCACAAUGGGCGCAAGCCUGAUGCAGCGACGCCGCGUGAGGGAUGGAGGCCUUCGGGUUGUGAACCUCUUUCGCCAGUGAAGCAGGCCUGCCUCGUUUGUGGGUGGGUUGACGGUAGCUGGAUAAGAAGCGCCGGCUAACUACGUG